UGGGGAAUAUUGCACAAUGGGCGCAAGCCUGAUGCAGCCAUGCCGCGUGUAUGAAGAAGGCCUUCGGGUUGUAAAGUACUUUCAGCGGGGAGGAAGGGAGUAAAGUUAAUACCUUUGCUCAUUGACGUUACCCGCAGAAGAAGCACCGGCUAACUCCGUGCCAGCAGCCGCGGUAAUACGGAGGGUGCAAGCGUUAAUCGGAAUUACUGGGCGUAAAGCGCACGCAGGCGGUUUGUUAAGUCAGAUGUGAAAUCCCCGGGCUCAACCUGGGAACUGCAUCUGAUACUGGCAAGCUUGAGUGUCGUAGAGGGGGGUAGAAUUCCAGGUGUAGCGGUGAAAUGCGUAGAGAUCUGGGGGAAUACCGGUGGCGAAGGCGGCCCCCUGGACGAAGACUGACGCUCAGGUGCGAAAGCGUGGGGAGCAAACAGG
rnacentral:rRNA from 1 species